GUGGGGAAUAUUGGACAAUGGGCGCAAGCCUGAUCCAGCCAUGCCGCGUGUGUGAAGAAGGCCUUUUGGUUGUAAAGCACUUUAAGCGAGGAGGAGGCUCCUUUAGUUAAUACCUAAAGAGAGUGGACGUUACUCGCAGAAUAAGCACCGGCUAACUCUGUGCCAGCAGCCGCGGUAAUACAGAGGGUGCGAGCGUUAAUCGGAUUUACUGGGCGUAAAGCGUGCGUAGGCGGCUUUUUAAGUCGGAUGUGAAAUCCCUGAGCUUAACUUAGGAAUUGCAUUCGAUACUGGAAAGCUAGAGUAUGGGAGAGGAUGGUAGAAUUCCAGGUGUAGCGGUGAAAUGCGUAGAGAUCUGGAGGAAGACCGAUGGCGAAGGCAGCCAUCUGGCCUAAUACUGACGCUGAGGUACGAAAGCAUGGGGAGCAAACAGGAUUAGAUACCCGGGUAGUCC
rnacentral:rRNA from 1 species